rnacentral:lncRNA from 1 species
CAACCUUGUUCUACACUCACAACACCUUUCGUAAGCCCUUGCACUCACCGGAGGAGAAAGCUCACACCGGAGAACUCACCACUCGCCGGAGUUACGAGAACGACUCGGAGAUCACACCGGGGACUCAGCUCGACUCUUUACCACCUGCAACAGGCCGGAGCUACGUGGAACUCGCCGGAGACAUACGGAGUUCGAACGGAAACCGUAUAACAUUCGUGAUUCGGAUUGGCUAGAAAUAUUGCAUGCCAUGUUAGGUUGAGGAUUGAUGAUGCUAUGAAAACGGACUAGCAAAGAU